rnacentral:rRNA from 1 species
GUCUACGGCCAUACCACCCUGAACGUGCCCGAUCUCGUCCGCUCUCAGAAGCUAAGCAGGGUCGGGCCUGGUUAGUACUUGGAUGGGAAAGAUAUCCAAGCAGUGCCUGGGUGGCUCAGUCA